GUGGGGAAUCUUCCGCAAUGGACGAAAGUCUGACGGAGCAACGCCGCGUGAACGAUGACGGCCUUCGGGUUGUAAAGUUCUGUUAUACGGGACGAAUGGUGCGACGGCCAAUACCCGUCGUAAGUGACGGUACCGUAAGAGAAAGCCACGGCUAACUACGUGCCAGCAGCCGCGGUAAUACGUAGGUGGCAAGCGUUGUCCGGAAUUAUUGGGCGUAAAGGGCGCGCAGGCGGCGUCGUAAGUCGGUCUUAAAAGUGCGGGGCUUAACCCCGUGAGGGGACCGAAACUGCGAUGCUAGAGUAUCGGAGAGGAAAGCGGAAUUCCUAGUGUAGCGGUGAAAUGCGUAGAUAUUAGGAGGAACACCAGUGGCGAAAGCGGCUUUCUGGACGACAACUGACGCUGAGGCGCGAAAGCCAGGGGAGCAAACGGGAUUAGAAACCCGAGUAGUCC
rnacentral:rRNA from 1 species